GUUGGUAGUGCGUCUGCCUUGUAAGCGCUAGGCCGCGGGUUCGAUUCCCGCCUGGGGCG
rnacentral:tRNA from 1 species